ACUAACUCAGUUCGAAAGUACAACUGUACAAUAAUAGCAAUGCAUUUUUCACGGAAAUUCCGAAAUCCAACGAUAAAUUGAUGGACAGAGUGAAAAAUUUAGAAUAAUUUGGGUAUAGGAUACACGAUUCAUACAAGAAUGCACCGGGAUGAGAUGGCACGAGUACCUCUGCAUAAAUACAGGUCAAAACAUAAACUGGUAAUUUUGUUCACUAUUGUAAAUCCGGUUGCUGGGUUCCUGCUAUGGUACUUAAGACGUCGACUAUUGCGAAAAUGCUCAAAUAGAACUGAAUUAUUGAGAGUAGAGAGACAAAUGUCAACUUUAAGCUUUUUCGGAACGAUAACUACAUUUUUUAUGGUGACUCUGAUGUGUCUCUGCCUGGCUAUAUCUGUAAGAACAGAUCACAAAAGGCGCGUACAACAUCAACAGCAGCCAUCAUUUACUCCAAACGAAAUGCUGAAUCAGAUUUAUAGAUCACAAUUAGAUAAUUUAGAUGCUCCAAAUUUAAGCAGUAAAAUCGAAAAUGCUCCACGGGAAUCGGAAGCCGAUGGUGAAGUACAUCAUAUAUUAAAAGGAAAGACAUGCGGAAUUAAUAUUACUAGUGUGUUAGACCGUUGGUGUGAAUUCAGACACAACACAUCUACCUUUUCGAUUCCAUAGACCUGAUUUGUUUCUAAUUGAUUGUAACAAUAAAGGUAUUUUAUGGGA